rnacentral:rRNA from 1 species
AUGAGGUCGGGGAGGCCAGCCCCCGUGGCGAGCGGGUGCCGUGUCGAGUCCAUUCGGGCUUGAGCCGGCAGUCGUCCGUUAAUUCUCAACCCCAUGUUUACUAUACCUUUGUUGCUUUGGCGGGCCUUGAUUAGGCUAUACGGCUCAUGCCGGCCUCAGGCUUCAAUGCCUUGGGGGCGGCUCGCGUCCGCCAGAGGUUUUAUUCAAAUCCUAAUUAUUAGUGAUGUCUGAGCAAAUAUUAAAUAAUCAAAACUUUCAACAACGGAUCUCUUGGUUCUGGCAUCGAUGAAGAACGCAGCGAAAUGCGAUAAGUAAUGUGAAUUGCAGAAUUUAGUGAAUCAUCGAAUCUUUGAACGCACAUUGCGCCCCUCGGUAUUCCGGGGGGUAUGCCUGUUCGAGCGUCAUUACACCCCUCAAGCGUAGCUUGGUAUUGGACUUUCGCGGGCACUCUUACAAGGGCUCGCGGGUUCGAAAAGCAGUGGCGGUCCCCGAAGAUUUCGCGCGUAGUAAAUUUUAUCCCGCGUUGGAAAGAAUCGAUGGGUCUUGCCAAAACCCCCUAAUCUCCAUAAAUUGACCUCGGAUCAGGUAGGGAUACCCGCUGAACUUAAGCAUAUCAUAAGCCGGAGAAA